rnacentral:rRNA from 1 species
GUCUGUAUGGUUGUUAUGUAGAGUCUGGCCUGCCCACUGAUAUAAAUUAAAGGGCCGCGGUAUUUUGACCGUGCGAAGGUAGCAUAAUCAUUAGUCUCUUAAUUGGAGGCUUGUAUGAAUGGUUGGACAAAAAGUGAGCUGUCUCAGUUGUAAGAUUUGAAAUUAACUUUUAAGUGAAAAGGCUUAAAUAAUCUGGGGGGACGAUAAGACCCUAUAAAGCUUUACAGUGAAAAAAGUAUAUCAUAAUUUGUUAAGUCUAACUUGGUUAACUUUUAAGUUGUUUCGUUGGGGCGACGGGAAUAUAAUAAAAAUAACUGUUCUUUGUGUAUAUUAACAAUAAUAGUUGGGUAAGAAAUGAUCCUUUAUUAAAGAUUAAAAGAUUAAGUUACUUUAGGGAUAACAGCGUAAUCUUCUUUGAGAGUCCAUAUCGACAAGAAGGGUUGCGACCUCGAUGUUGAAUUAAGAUUUCCUUACGGUGCAGCAGCUGCAAAGGAAGGUCUGUUCGACCUUUAAAUUCUU